rnacentral:rRNA from 1 species
AUGCAGGGCCAGCAGGUGUACAGCCGCCUAGGGAGCUUCGGCGGGGCGGCGGGCACGCCGUCCCCGCCCCCGCCCCCGUCCCCCCUGCGCGGCGGCGCGGGGAGGCGGACACCGGGGAAGGCGGGCGCGACGAGGGGGUCCCAGGAGGCGGCGGCGGCGGGGGCCACCGGGUGGGGCGCCGCGGCCAGGCGGGCGGCGCGGGCGCUGCUCGCCGCGCUGCUGCGGAGGCAGGCCGUCUUCCUCUUCGCGCCGCUGCUCUACGUCGCCGCCAUGCUGCUCUACAUGGGCUCGCUCCCGCUCGACGUCGUGCCGCGGAUCAUCACGCGCUCCGGGCCAGGCUCCGUCUACCGCAGCCCCCAGCUGUACGCGCGCCUCCGCCCAGACAUGGACGCCGACAACUCCACCGACGCGUUAGCAACUGUAUGGAGGCAAACUUACAAAGGUGGUGUCUGGCGACCUUGCAUACACAAUCUGACAAACAGUUUGCCUGAAUCAAAUGGCUACAUAUAUGUGGAGGCAAAUGGUGGUUUGAAUCAACAAAGGACAUCGAUAUGCAAUGCGGUUGCUAUUGCUGGUUUUCUAAAUGCUACUCUUAUUAUUCCGAAUUUCCAUUUCCACAGCAUUUGGAAGGAUCCAAGCAAAUUCAGGGAUAUUUAUGAUGAAGAACACUUUGUAAAACGUCUACAGAAUGAUGUUCGAGUAGUUAACAAAGUGCCUGAUUUUGUAAUGGAGCGUUUUGGUCACAAUCUAAGCAAUGUAUUCAAUUUCAAGAUAAAGGCUUGGUCUUCUAGUAAAUACUACGAAGAUGUUGUUCUUCCGAAGUUAGUUGAAGAAAGAUUCAUCCGAAUUUCUCCGUUUGCAAACCGACUCUCAUUUGAUGCCCCACCUGUUGUUCAACGGUUGAGAUGCUUGGUGAAUUUUGAAGCUUUAAAAUUUUCAAACCCAAUUGCUACUCUAUCGGAGACUUUAAUUUCUCGAAUGAGAGAAAAAAGUGCUGAAAGCAAUGGGAAAUAUAUCGCAGUGCAUCUUCGUUUUGAGGAGGAUAUGGUUGCCUUCUCAUGUUGUGUAUAUGAUGGUGGUGACGGGGAGAAGAAGGAAAUGGAUGUGGCCAGAGAAAUAGGUUGGCGAGGGAAGUUUACAAAGAGAGGGAAGGUAAUAAGGCCAGGAGUUAUAAGAAUGAACGGGAAAUGUCCACUUACACCUUUGGAGGUUGGAUUAAUGCUUCGUGGGAUGGGUUUCAACAAUAAGACUGCAAUUUAUUUGGCCUCUGGAAAGAUUUACAGAUCAGAGAAGACCAUGGCUCCUCUUCUUGAAAUGUUUCCUCUUCUACAGACAAAAGAAACACUAGCAUCAGAUGAGGAACUUGCUCCAUUUAAGAAUUUCUCCUCAAGGAUGGCUGCAAUAGACUAUAGUGUUUGCACCUAUAGUGAAGUUUUCGUGACCACACAAGGCGGAAAUUUCCCUCAUUUUCUGAUGGGACACAGAAGAUACUUGUAUGGUGGACAUUCAAAGACAAUUAAGCCAGACAAAAGAAGGCUGGCCAUACUCUUUGAUAAUCCACGUAUCGGUCAUGCCUUGUCAUUUUUAUGCAGAUGGAAGUCAUUGAAACGUCACUUACUCAACAUGAGAGCACACAGUGAUGCCAAAGGGGUCGAGAUGAAAAGACCAAAUGAAUCGAUAUACACAUUUCCAUGUCCUGACUGCAUGUGCCGCUUGAACAAAACAACGCAUUCGAAACCCAUACACACUAGAUAG